GCUUUGGCCACUUAUGAGGUGUAUAUUUAUAAUAAAGCUCUGAUAUCAUGUCAUACAUAUGGUAUAAAAAAUGUACCACUGCUUUUAGUAAUUUUAUUGCAAACUUUUUGAUGUUAUUGAUUUAUAAUCAUUGUCGUGUGGAGCAAGUUUAAUCUACUGCGUAAUGAAGUAUCUUGAGCAUGUAGGACAUAAUA
rnacentral:sRNA from 1 species